rnacentral:lncRNA from 1 species
CUUGGCUCAGCCUAAGAAUUUUGAGAUUCCUCCGUGUUGUGUGUAUCAGUUCAUUCUUCUCUGUUAGUGGAUAGUACUCCCUCGUGUGGAUAUACCACAGUUUCUUGAUCCAUCCACCUGCUGAUGGAUAUUGGGACAUUUCCUCUCCUGUGUCUUUUUCACAUUGCUUCCUCCACCCAGAAUGGGUUUUUCCUUCAGCCCCACUGGACUCCCUAACCUCCCACAAAUAAAAUCUGCCUACAUGGGAACACAAACAUUAACUCCCAUCAAAACUCACUGACUGAGACAUCUUUCUGAGCUUACAGAAGUGGCCCUCUCUCCUCAGCAACCCCACUUCUUCCCAUGUUUAUAGUGGUGUUUUCCCCAGGGGAUCAUGAUUUCCUCAAGAGCAGGGACCAUGUCUUAAUUACCUAAAUAGUGUCAGCCCCCCGUACAGCAUCCAGGAUGGGAGAUGUUGGGGGGCAGGAAUUGGGUGGGUCAUCAAGGGAUAGUGGCCUGGUGGAUGAGCCUGAGGGCAAAUCUAACUUUCAGAAGGGAGGUUGGCAGAAACUAGGCAAGCCCAAGGCCUGGAAAGGGACUAGAGACCCCUAUGGACAGUCUGACAGGAAAUCCUGUGGAACAAACUCAGCUUGAAUGUGAUGUGCAGUUGUCCAGGCUCACUCCUGGUAGCAGUUCCAGGCGACUUAAUUCCAAGCCCCCAGGCUUCACAUCAGAGGCUGAGUCCCACAUGGUCCCUGUGGAGAUCAGCUUAAGAGCCUGGGAGAAUGGAGCCCCUAGGUGGGGCAUGAGUGAGCCCACCUACAAGGGACUGGUGACUGGAGUCCUGGCAUGUGCUCUUCCAUUUUGAGGUGAGGCUGUCCCUUUUGCAGCCACCAGUCUCCUUCUGGGAAAGAAAGGGCAUCAUUUGCUUCAUUAGCGAAGAUGGAACUGAUGUCAGCAAGCCAGGGAAGCGUAGAAUCCCAGGAAGAAGGAGUCUGGAGUUGGAGCAUGGCCCUCAUCCUGC